rnacentral:rRNA from 1 species
UGGGGAGCAAACAGGAUUAGAUACCCUGGUAGUCCACGCCGUAAACGAUGUCGACUUGGAGGUUGUGCCCUUGAGGCGUGGCUUCCGGAGCUAACGCGUUAAGUCGACCGCCUGGGGAGUACGGCCGCAAGGUUAAAACUCAAAUGAAUUGACGGGGGCCCGCACAAGCGGUGGAGCAUGUGGUUUAAUUCGAUGCAACGCGAAGAACCUUACCUGGUCUUGACAUCCACGGAAGUUUUCAGAGAUGAGAAUGUGCCUUCGGGAACCGUGAGACAGGUGCUGCAUGGCUGUCGUCAGCUCGUGUUGUGAAAUGUUGGGUUAAGUCCCGCAACGAGCGCAACCCUUAUCCUUUGUUGCCAGCGGUCCGGCCGGGAACUCAAAGGAGACUGCCAGUGAUAAACUGGAGGAAGGUGGGGAUGACGUCAAGUCAUCAUGGCCCUUACGACCAGGGCUACACACGUGCUACAAUGGCGCAUACAAAGAGAAGCGACCUCGCGAGAGCAAGCGGACCUCAUAAAGUGCGUCGUAGUCCGGAUUGGAGUCUGCAACUCGACUCCAUGAAGUCGGAAUCGCUAGUAAUCGUGGAUCAGAAUGCCACGGUGAAUACGUUCCCGGGCCUUGUACACACCGCCCGUCACACCAUGGGAGUGGGUUGCAAAAGAAGUAGGUAGCUUAACCUUCGGGAGGGCGCUUACCACUUUGUGAUUCAUGACUGGGGUGAAGUCGUAACAAGGUAACCGUAGGGGAACCUGCGGUUGGAUCACCU